rnacentral:rRNA from 1 species
AACGAACGCUGGCGGCAGGCUUAACACAUGCAAGUCGAACGCUCGUAGCAAUACGGGAGUGGCAGACGGGUGAGUAACGCGUGGGAAUCUACCUAGUUCUACGGAACAACAGUUGGAAACGACUGCUAAUACCGUAUACGCCCUACGGGGGAAAGAUUUAUCGGAAUUAGAUGAGCCCGCGUAAGAUUAGCUAGUUGGUGGGGUAAUGGCCUACCAAGGCGACGAUCUUUAGCUGGUCUGAGAGGAUGAUCAGCCACACUGGGACGGAGACACGGCCCAGACUCCUACGGGAGGCAGCAGUGGGGAAUAUUGGACAAUGGGCGCAAGCCUGAUCCAGCCAUGCCGCGUGAGUGAUGAAGGCCUUAGGGUUGUAAAGCUCUUUCACCGAUGAAGAUAAUGACGGUAGUCGGAGAAGAAGCCCCGGCUAACUUCGUGCCAGCCGCCGCAGUAAAAC